rnacentral:tmRNA from 1 species
CGCCUGCCUGAACGCAGAACCCAAAGCUCUCAGGCUAGCUUUUGCUUUGCGCCGACCUUUAUGGGCGUUUUCAAAGGCGAAACUUUAAAUACAGAGGAAACGCAUGUAUGAGCGAACGCGAACGAAAUUUUGGACAGGGGUUCGACUCCCCUCACCUCCAUUG